UUGGCAGUUGGGAUUCAGACCUUGACAGUUGUAACUGAUAGACAGGGCUGGGGCAAUGCUGAUGAAAGGCAAAUUCCUGAGAGAAAAAUCACCCAAAUUUUUCAGUGCCUUCUCUAGCUUUCUAGAAGUUGUUAUGAGUGGACCUGACUACCUAGAGAGAGUAAUACAGAAGCUCCAUGCCGAUCACAGCUACCUCAUUACCAAGUUCCUCCAAGAUGGCCGCCCCUGAGGAGAAUCAUCAACUGGGCUUUACGGAAGAGAGAAAUCCAAACGACCAUCAGCAACAAAUGAAAGACUGAAGUUGAAAGGAAAUCCAUAAUUUUUGAAUGCUGGCCGAGGUCUGUGACCUCUGACUGAAUGGUUUCCAAGCUCUGAAUUCCUAGGUAUAACACUUGCUGAAGAAAGGAAAAGCUCUCUGAUUUAGGUGUAAGCAAAACAAUCUAAACAGUAGGAUAAAAUCGUGUUGGAGUGGAGUUCUGUGUGAGCGCUGUCUUUGAACCAAAUCAGUUCCACAACUGACCCUGUCAGGGACAUAUAAAUUUAGCAUUUCGGUGUGGAUACAGAAGACGAGAUUAACACAGAUCAAGUAACAUGGAAAUAAAAAAGGAGACAAUGCUGGAUGAUACGGGGGCAGCCAACAAGAAGAGAAAACCCAAGCAUUGGCAAACCCCUCAUUAUCCAAAGAACACU
rnacentral:lncRNA from 1 species